rnacentral:rRNA from 1 species
GGGGAACCAGGACUUUUACUUUGAAAAAAUUAGAGUGCUCCAGGCAGGCCUAUGCUCGAAUACAUUAGCAUGGAAUAAUAGAAUAGGACGUGUGGUUCUAUUUUGUUGGUUUCUAGGACCGCCGUAAUGAUUAAUAGGGACAGUCGGGGGCAUCAGUAUUCAAUUGUCAGAGGUGAAAUUCUUGGAUCUAUUGAAGACUAACUACUGCGAAAGCAUUUGCCAAGGAUGUUUUCAUUGAUAAGGAACGAAAGUUAGGGGAUCGAAGACGAUCAGAUACCGUCAUAGUCUUAACUAUAAACUAUGCCGACUAGGGAUCGGACGAUGUUAUCUUUUGACGCGUUCGGCACCUUUCGAGAAAUCAAAGUGCUUGGGCUCCAGGGGGAGUAUGGUCGCAAGGCUGAAACUUAAAGAAAUUGACGGAAGGGCACCACCAGGGGUGGAACCUGCGGCUUAAUUUGACUCAACACGGGGAAACUCACCAGGUCCAGACACAGUGAGGAUUGACAGAUUGAGAGCUCUUUCUUGAUUCUGUGGGUGGUGGUGCAUGGCCGUUCUUAGUUGGUGGAGUGAUUUGUCUGCUUAAUUGCGAUAACGAACGAGACCU